GUUAUUAUGGCUCAGCAGUAGAGCACUCACCUAGCAAGUGUGAGACCCUAGGUUCGAUUCUCAUAACU
rnacentral:tRNA from 1 species